rnacentral:rRNA from 1 species
CAAUAGCGUAUAUUAAAGUUGUUGCGGUUAAAAGCUCGUAGUUGGAUUUCUGCUGAGGACGACCGGUCCGCCCUCCGGGUGAGCAUCUGGUUCGGCCUUGGCAUCUUCUUGGUGAACGUAUCUGCACUUGACUGUGUGGUGCAGGUACCCAGGACUUUUACUUUGAGGAAAUUAGAGUGUUUCAAGCAGGCAUACGCCUUGAAUACAUUAGCAUGGAAUAAUAAGAUAGGACCUUGGUUCUAUUUUGUUGGUUCUAGAGCUGAGGUAAUGAUUAAUAGGGAUAGUUGGGGGCAUUCGUAUUUAAUUGUCAGAGGUGAAAUUGCUUAUGGAGUUUUAUUAAAAGACGGACUACUGCGAAAGCAUUUGCCAAGGAUGUUUUCAUUGAUCAAGAACGAAAGUUAGGGGAUCGAAGAUGAUCAGAU